UUUUAAAUUUAGAGUUUGAUCCUGGCUCAGGACGAACGCUGGCGGCGUGUUUAACACAUGCAAGUCGAGCGAUGAAGCUUCCUUCGGGAAGUGGAUUAGCGGCGGACGGGUGAGUAACACGUGGGUAACCUACCUCAAAGUGGGGGAUAGCCUCCCGAAAGGGAGAUUAAUACCGCAUAAUAUAAGAAAAUCGCAUGAUUAUCUUAUCAAAGAUUUAUCGCUUUGAGAUGGACCCGCGGCGCAUUAGCUAGUUGGUGGGGUAACGGCCUACCAAGGCAACGAUGCGUAGCCGACCUGAGAGGGUGAUCGGCCACAUUGGAACUGAGACACGGUCCAGACUCCUACGGGA
rnacentral:rRNA from 2 species